CGAGGAAGGGCAGGAGGAGACCAAAUGAAAAGGGCCGACCUAUUCAGUUACACAACUGAAUGCAUUCAACCAAAAUGUGUGGGUACUAAGUAAAAGGUGGAAUCUGUCUCAUAUAUAUAUAUAUAAAAUGUGUGGGUACUAAGUAAAAGGUGGAAUCUGUCUCAUAUAUAUAUAUAUAUAAAAUGUGUGGGUACUAAGUAAAAGGUGGAAUCUGUCUCAUAUAUAUAUAAAAUGUGUGGGUACUAAGUAAAAAGUGGAAUCUGUCUCAUAUAUAUAUAUAAAAUGUGUGGGUACUAAGUAAAAGGUGGAAUCUGUCUCAUAUAUAUAUAUAUAAAAUGUGUGGGUACUAAGUAAAAGGUGGAAUCUGUCUCAUAUAUAUAUAAAAUGUGUGGGUACUAAGUAAAAGGUGGAAUCUGUCUCAUAUAUAUAUAUAAAAUGUGUGGGUACUAAGUGAAAGGUGGAAUCUGUCUCAUAUAUAUAUAUAAAAUGUGUGGGUACUAAGUAAAAGGUGGAAUCUGUCUCAUAUAUAUAUAUAUAUAAAAUGUGUGGGUACUAAGUAAAAGGUGGAAUCUGUCUCAUAUAUAUAUAUAUAUAUAUAAAAUGUGUGGGUACUAAGUAAAAGGUGGAAUCUGUCUCAUAUAUAUAUAUAAAAUGUGUGGGUACUAAGUGAAAGGUGGAAUCUGUCUCAUAUAUAUAUAAAAUGUGUGGGUACUAAGUGAAAGGUGGAAUCUGUCUCAUAUAUAUAUAAAAUGUGUGGGUACUAAGUAAAAGGUGGAAUCUGUCUCAUAUAUAUAUAAAAUGUGUGGGUACUAAGUAAAAGGUGGAAUCUGUCUCAUAUAUAUAUAUAAAAUGUGUGGGUACUAAGUAAAAGGUGGAAUCUGUCUCAUAUAUAUAUAUAUAAAAUGUGUGGGUACUAAGUAAAAGGUGGAAUCUGUCUCAUAUAUAUAUAUAAAAUGUGUGGGUACUAAGUAAAAGGUGGAAUCUGUCUCAUAUAUAUAUAUAUAUAUAAAAUGUGUGGGUACUAAGUAAAAGGUGGAAUCUGUCUCAUAUAUAUAUAUAUAUAAAAUGUGUGGGUACUAAGUAAAAGGUGGAAUCUGUCUCAUAUAUAUAUAUAAAAUGUGUGGGUACUAAGUAAAAGGUGGAAUCUGUCUCAUAUAUAUAUAUAUAUAUAAAAUGUG